rnacentral:rRNA from 1 species
UACGUAGGUCCCGAGCGUUGUCCGGAUUUAUUGGGCGUAAAGCGAGCGCAGGUGGUUUAUUAAGUCUGGUGUAAAAGGCAGUGGCUCAACCAUUGUAUGCAUUGGAAACUGGUAGACUUGUGUGCAGGAGAGGAGAGUGGAAUUCCAUGUGUAGCGGUGAAAUGCGUAGAUAUAUGGAGGAACACCGGUGGCGAAAGCGGCUCUCCGGCCUGUAACUGACACUGAGGCUCGAAAGCGUGGGGAGCAAACAGG